GGUGUUUAUAGCUUAGUAGGUAAAGCAUAUAUUUGUGGUAUAUAGUACCAGAGUUCAAACCUCUGUUUACACC
rnacentral:tRNA from 1 species